rnacentral:rRNA from 1 species
GACGAACGCUGGCGGCGUGCUUAACACAUGCAAGUCGAACGGUGAAGCGCCUUCCUUUUUGGUGGGUGUGGAUGAGUGGCGAACGGGUGAGUAACACGUGAGUAACCUGCCCCCUUCUUCUGGAUAACCGCAUGAAAGUGUGGCUAAUACGGGAUAUUCUGGGUCUGUCGCAUGAUGGGUCUGGGAAAGAUAUUGUUUCGGUGGGGGAUGGGCUCGCGGCCUAUCAGCUUUUUGGUGGGGUGAUGGCCUACCAAGGCGGUGACGGGUAGCCGGCCUGAGAGGGUGGACGGUCACACUGGGACUGAGACACGGCCCAGACUCCUACGGGAGGCAGCAGUGGGGAAUAUUGCACAAUGGGCGCAAGCCUGAUGCAGCGACGCCGCGUGAGGGAUGGAGGCCUUCGGGUUGUGAACCUCUUUCGCCAGUGAAGCAGGCCUGCCUCGUUUGUGGGUGGGUUGACGGUAGCUGGAUAAGAAGCGCCGGCUAACUACGUG